AAGAAUCAGCCUUGAUAGUUUUUCUAAAGUUGUCUUAGUUAAAUUGGCAAGUGCUAUAUUUUUAGAAGACAAAGUUAAAAUAUGCCAUAUUUCUUUAAGGUAGGAUGUAAUUAGAAAUUUAAUUGGUAUCCUAUUAAUAUAGAUAUCAAAUAAAUUACACUUGUACUAUAUGCCCUUCUUUAGAGAGUGAAUUUGACUUAGCCCUUUGCUGGCAGGAUUCUGUAGUCUUUGCUUUAAGCCACUCCUAGGUGGAGCCUUACAAGUGCCGGGGUGAGGAUUGGGUGGUGGUGACUUCAGCAGUGUUCUGAAAUUGCUAGAGAUUAAGCUGCUUCAUUUGGGUGCCAUGUGGAGCCAUGGUAACAAGCCCUUGCUUUCUGAUUUCAGGAGUAUUCGUGGAACCUGGAGAAAUGUUUGUCCUCUAAUGGGUCUUUUCAGAGUCAACACAAAAGCAGGGCAAAACAGUGUCUUGUAACAGUCAUCCCAGGACAAAGAAUUAAAAUCUAAAGGAAUGAUAUACUGUUGUGAUAGUGACUUCCUUUCCCAGACUCCUGCUGUAUUACACGCGUCCUGGACAGCCCUGGAAGGAAAUUGACAGAACUUUCAUAAAUCAAAGACUGGCAGAGACAAAGUAAAUAAUGAUGAAAACGAACAAUAGAUCACCCAGAAGGAGUGUCCCUGCCAAAAAGAACAUGGCACUUCACCCUCCGUGGAACAGAUGCACACCCUGACCAGGAGGCCAGGGCUGCCGGGUCAACAUCACUCACUUCUUGAUCCUUUCGCCAAAGGAAGCCACUUCAUCUAGGACGUUCUGGACACUGACACAUACCUCCUGGAUGGCAUAGAUUUUAUUGAUGAAUCCCUUUUUUUCACUGUCCUAAAAUACAAUAAAUGAAAUUCUGU